AGUGAACGCUGGCGGUAGGCCUAACACAUGCAAGUCGAACGGCAGCACAGUACUAGCUUGCUCUUACGGGUGGCGAGUGGCGGACGGCUGAGGAAUACAUCGGCAUCUACUUUUUCGUGGGGGUUAACGUCGGGAACCUUACGCUAAUACCGCAUACGACCUACGGGUGAAAGCAGGGGAUCUUCGGACCUUGCGCGAUUGCAUGAGCCGAUGUCGGAUUAGCUAGUUGGCGGGGUAAAGGCCCACCAAGGCGACGAUCCGUUGCUGGUCUGAGAGGAUGAUCAGCCACACGGGAACUGAGACACGGUCCAGACGCCUACGGGAGGCAGCAGUGGGGAAUAUUGGACAAUGGGCGCAAGCCUGAUCCAGCCAUACCGCGUGGGUGAAGAAGGCCUUCGGGUUGGAAAGCCCGUUUGUUGGGAAAGAAAAGCAGCAGGUUAAUACCCCGCUGUUCUGACGGUACCCAAAGAAUAAGCACCGGCUAACUUCGUG
rnacentral:rRNA from 1 species